rnacentral:lncRNA from 1 species
CACAGAUGUAAGACCUUAUUUAUGAGAGUCUGGCCAAACAGCAGCCCACCACAUCCAGGGGCCUCUCUGUUUGUCUUCUUGCUCCCUCUUCUCAUUCCACUGCUCUGGGAUUCAAUGGCACCCAGAAGCUACUAAACCCUCCUUUUCUCCACACACCCCCCCAACCCCUGAAUCUCCCCUGUCCCUAGCCAAUUAGAACAUUCCAGCACCACAUCUUUUGUUUUCUCUGUGGAAGAUUAGCUACUAAUUUACUGCUAAUCUGUAGUGCAACAUGACCGCCGGGCAAGAGUGUCUCCCCUCACUGCUGUGUGGGUUUCAGACAGUCAGGGGGCUUAUGUAAUAACACACACACACACACAAACACAGUUGCAUACAAAUGAAUGCAUGCGCACACACACAUGCGCACACACACACACACACACACACACACCAGCUGUCUUCUCUCACUGCCUGGAGGAGGCUUUAAGCUUUUUCUACAGUCAGGGUCUGAUCCAGGUUUAUUAUAAAUCAUCCACCUCAUGAUCUGUGUUAACCACUAACAUUGCACAUGUAAAGCGGGUAAAGAUGGAGACAGCGUGGCGGACAAGGAAAGAGGACAGGGAGUAUUGAGAGGGAGGUGGAGAGGGAGUACGGAUGAGAGAGAGGAGGAGGACUACGGAGAUCAUUCUAUUAUUGGGAGCGUGACUGAGGAGGAACAGGUACAGACAGGAGGAGUGAAUGACAGGAAUGUGUUGCUCACUCAGCUUCCGACAGGUGGAGGCGGACAGUCACCUCCCGAACAAAAACACACACGUGCGGUUUCGUGUUGAGACGCGAUGUCCCUGCUCAGCGCGCGUGAGUUCACAUCUCUCAAAGAGGUCGACAUCGACACCCUGUGGCCACACUACUGAACUCAACACCACCGGCUCAAACUCAAUGCGUGUAUGUGUGUGAGUGGACAUGUUUCUGUGUGUGUCAGCGUAUGUUUCAUGUGAUUUUCAUUGAAUGUUGUCAUGUUGUCAUCACCCACUUGUUUCCCAGUCACAGGCCACGGUUGUCAAAACAAAAGGCCUGUCUUCGCCUUUCCUGUACCUCAUCCACCUGGUAUUCUACAGCUGCCCUGCCAAAACGUACCUCAUCAACCCAUCCUCCUCCAUAAAGCUGAACUCCUAGGAGGAACAUUUAACGCUCACUGCUUAGUCUGCCUGGUACGACGACGAAACCACCAAGGCCUGACCCAACGACCAAAGGCUGACCUAAACACCAAGGCUUUGGAUGAAAUCAAGGGCCAGUGAGCCAUGCCAAGGGCUCUUUGUGAGGAUAGUGCAUAACGUUGGGUUGAGCAGUUGUGUGAAGCACGACGGGUGCCCAGUGGAUGACUGACGUUUGGUCCGCACUCUGAAGGAUGACAUCUGACAGUGACAAUCUUCCUCCGCAGUGGAAGAUUCUUCCAGAAAAUAAUGAUUAAACAUGGCCUUUCAGGAACAUUUGGGCACUCUUUAACUUACUUAUUCAGACAUACACACACACACACAGAAUAUUCCGGGAAGUACAAUAGUAGUAUACAUCUCUUUUCUCUCAUCAUUUCCCAGUUCAUAGGCCUUUGUAUGUCUGUGGGUCAGGAUGAAUUGCAAUUUCAGCCCAGCUAGCCACCUUUUGGGGGAGAAUGUGAUCGCUCUGUGACCAAAGUCACAGGACAUCUACUCAAAUGUUUGACUUUAUUUUAAAGGUAUGCUUCAUGAUUAGGGGUAAUUUCAGUUAAAUGCAAUUUCUGUAUUUCUGUGUGCUGUUCUAAGGAAGUUGAAUGUAGCAUAUGGUUAGCUUAGCAGAGUUAUUUGCAUUGUUUGAGCAAUA